CCGGCCCCUCCCCGGGCUCAGGAUCUGACCCCGUUCCUCCCGGAAGGAGCCGGGCCAGAACUCAGCUCUCGCCCCUUUUCUCCCCCUCCCCGCCCCCACAGGGAAGAUGCAGAGAGAACUGGAGUCCGACCCAGCCAAACGGCGUCUCCUGGUUCCCCGAGGCCCACCCUGCUGCCGGCCACCGGACGGGGGGACGGCCCACGCCAGCACCUCCACGUUGACGUUGGGGAUCUCCGGAGGAGGCGUGCGCCGAGACCGGGCUCCGGAACCCCUGUCGCGCCCGCGGUUGACGGCCAGGGGAGUUGACGCCUGCGUCCGUGUCCCGGGAAGGAAGGGAGGGUGGGACGGAGGGCGGCGGUGGGGGUGGGAGGGAGUGGGAGUCUGGGAGCCGGCUGGCACCUUCUGCUACCGCAGCUACUGGUUGGGGACUCUAGCAAGAAUAAAGUCGAUUUCGGAAACGUGACCGAGUUGGCUCCGCUUCUUGUC
rnacentral:lncRNA from 1 species